rnacentral:rRNA from 1 species
UACGUAGGGUGCAAGCGUUAAUCGGAAUUACUGGGCGUAAAGCGUGCGCAGGCGGUUGUGCGAGACAGAUGUGAAAUCCCCGGGCUCAACCUGGGAAUUGCAUUUGUGACUGCACGGCUAGAGUGUGUCAGAGGGGGGUAGAAUUCCACGUGUAGCAGUGAAAUGCGUAGAGAUGUGGAGGAAUACCGAUGGCGAAGGCAGCCCCCUGGGAUAACACUGACGCUCAUGCACGAAAGCGUGGGGAGCAAACAGG